rnacentral:rRNA from 1 species
GACGAACGCUGGCGGCGUGCUUAACACAUGCAAGUCGAACGGAAAGGCCCUGCUGUUGUGGGGUGCUCGAGUGGCGAACGGGUGAGUAACACGUGAGUAACCUGCCCUUGACUUUGGGAUAACGUCAGGAAACUGGGGCUAAUACCGGAUAGGUGCUCCUGCUGCAUUUUGUGGGUUGGAAAGUUUCGGCGGUUGGGGAUGGACUCGCGGCUUAUCAGCUUGUUGGUGGGGUAGUGGCUUACCAAGGCUUUGACGGGUAGCCGGCCUGAGAGGGUGACCGGCCACAUUGGGACUGAGAUACGGCCCAGACUCCUACGGGAGGCAGCAGUGGGGAAUAUUGCACAAUGGGCGGAAGCCUGAUGCAGCAACGCCGCGUGCGGGAUGACGGCCUUCGGGUUGUAAACCGCUUUCGCCUGUGACGAAGCGUGAGUGACGGUAAUGGGUAAAGAAGCACCGGCUAACUACGUG